rnacentral:rRNA from 1 species
UACGGGAGGCAGCAGUGGGGAAUAUUGCACAAUGGGCGAAAGCCUGAUGCAGCGACGCCGCGUGAGUGAAGAAGUAUUUCGGUAUGUAAAGCUCUAUCAGCAGGGACGAAAGAAGUUGAAAGACACUUCCUGACGGUACCUGACUAAGAAGCCCCGGCUAACUACGUGCCAGCAGCCGCGGUAAUACGUAGGGGGCAAGCGUUAUCCGGAUUUACUGGGUGUAAAGGGAGCGUAGACGGUUGUGUAAGUCAGAUGUGAAAGCCCAGGGCUCAACCCUGGGACUGCAUUUGAAACUAUGCAACUGGAGUGCAGGAGAGGUAAGUGGAAUUCCUAGUGUAGCGGUGAAAUGCGUAGAUAUUAGGAGGAACACCAGUGGCGAAGGCGGCUUACUGGACUGUAACUGACGUUGAGGCUCGAAAGCGUGGGGAGCAAACAGGAUUAGAUACCCUGGUAGUCCACGCUGUAAACGAUGAAUACUAGGUGUCGGGGCCCAUCCGGGCUUCGGUGCCGUCGCAAACGCAUUAAGUAUUCCACCUGGGGAGUACGUUCGCAAGAAUGAAACUCAAAGGAAUUGACGG